GAGACAGAGAUAAACAGAGAGGAGAGAGACAGAGAUAAACAGAAGGAGGAGAGAGAAACAGAGAGGAGAGAGACAGAGAUAAACAGAGUGGGGAGAGAGAAACAGAGAGGAGAGAGACAGAGAUAAACAGAGAGGAGAGAGACAGAGAUAAACAGAGUGGGGAGAGAGAAACAGAGAGGAGAGAGACAGAGAUAAACAGAGAGGGGAGAGAGAAACAGAGAGGAGAGAGACAGAGAUAAACAGAGAGGGGAGAGAGAAACAGAGAGGAGAGAGAGAGAGAUAAACAGAGAGGAGAGAGAGAGAUAAACAGAGAGGAGAGAGACAGAGAAACAGAGAGGAGAGAGAAACAGAGAGGAGAGAGAAAC
ensembl:lncRNA